GACGAACGCUGGCGGCGUGCCUAAUACAUGCAAGUCGAACGCAGUGGGGACGGGUGAGUAACACGUGGGUAACCUCCCAUCAGAGGGGAUAACACUUGGCAACUGGUGCUAAACCGAUAUUGAUGGAUGGACCCGCGGUGCAUUAGCUAGUUGGUGAGGUAACGGCUCACCAAGGCCACGAUGCAUAGCCGACCUGUGAGGGUGAUCGGCCACACUGGGACGGGGACACGGCCCAGACUCCUACGGGAGGCAGCAGUGGGGAAUAUUGCACAAUUGGCGCAAGCCUGAUGUAGCCAUGCCGCGUGUAUGAAGAAGGCCUUAGGGUUGUAAAGUACUUUCAGCGGGGAGGCGUUACCCGCAGAAGAAGCACCGGCUAACUCCGUGCCAGCAGCCGCGGUAAUAC
rnacentral:rRNA from 1 species